rnacentral:lncRNA from 1 species
CUUAAACCUUAAAUCCUCUCCUUUGGUAAUUCCCUCCUUAACCUUAAAAACCCAUUUGCACCCAACAAUAGACUUGUCUUUAGGUCUUGGGACUAACUCCCAUGUUUGAUUUUUAUCGAGGGAAUUUAUCUCUUCUUUCAUCGCUUUCACCCAAUUCUCAGAUUGUUCACUCCUCAAGGCUUCUUCAUACGUGUUUGGUUCCCUAUCAACUAGUUCUUCAUAACUAGUAUAAGCAAGCUCAAAAUCAGACUCUAAUCUUUGAGGCACCCUAUGUGUUCUCCUAACUCUGUCUCUAGCUAACUGGUAAUCAGAUAAAGGGUUUUGUUCUUCUUGAUAUUCCUCUACAAUCUCAUCUCUCUCAGUAUUUUCAUUCUGGCUGUCUUCUAAUUCAGGAUUUUGAUGCUCCACCUCAAUUGAGGUGGUGGGGGUUCUAACACUUAAAGAUCUUAGAUCCUCUCGGGAUUCGUCACUAGUGUUUUCUUGCUGUUUUUCUCUCAAACUGUCAUUCUCUGAUUUAAGACACGGCAUAUCAGACUCAUUAAAUGUAACAUCACGGCUUACGAUGAUCUUAACUCCAGGUUGACUUCUAUCCCAAAGCCUAUACCCUUUAACUCCUUCGGGGUAUCCUAAGAAAAUACAUUUCCUAGCUCUAGGUUCUAGUUUUCCCUCAUUUUGAUGAGAGAAAGCAGCACAGCCAAAAGUUUUCAACAUAGUAUAGUCAGCACAUUUACCAUACCAUUUUUCAUACGGAGUAUCACCAUUUAAUGCAGUAGAAGGUGUCAUAUUAAUCAAAUAACAUGCAGUUACAACAGCUUCACCCCAAAACGAUUUAGGAAUACCAGAACUCAACAUCAUACAUCUAACUUUGUCAAGUAAAGUACGAUUCAUACGUUCAGCCACCCCGUUCUGUUGAGGUGUAUAAGGAACAGUUCUAUGUCUAGUAAUUCCACAUUUUUCACACAUAUCAUCAAAAUCUUUAUUACAGAAUUCUAGGCCAUUAUCAGUUCUUAGAUAUUUUACCUUUUUGCCAGUUUGAGUUUCAACUUGCAAUUUCCAUAUUUUGAAAACAUUAAAGGUUUCAGUUUUAUCCUUUAACAAAUAAACCCAUACUCUACGAGAGUAAUCAUCAAUUAUGGACAAAAAAUAUCUAUUACCACCCAUAGUAGGAUUAGUAGCAGGCCCCCAUAAAUCUGUAUGAAUGUAUUCCAAAACUUUAGCAGUUUUAUGCAUGCCAGAUGAGAAAGAUAACUUAUGAUGUUUUCCAAGCACACAGUGGUCACAGAAAGGCAUAUUAGACACACAGUCUUUUCCAAAUACACCUUUAUCAUUUAGCAGUUUAAGUCCUUUAAUACUUAUGUGAGCUAAUCUAUUGUGCCACUUGUGUGUAUCAUCAGUGUUGGUCAAAUUUAUAGAGGAAAUAGAAUCUUUAACAAUUUCAGCAUUGGUCACAUAAAUACCGUUUCUUUUAAUACCUUUACAUGUGACAAGCGAACCCUUAAUCAUUUUCAAC